CUCGAGGCCAGAUCUAGAGUUUGAUCCUGGCUGAGGAUGAACGCUAGCGGUGUGCCUAAUGCAUGCAAGUCGAACGGGAUCCUUUGAUUCGUCGAAGGUGAGAGUGGCGAACGGGUGAGUAACACGUAGGUGACCUGCCCCAGAGAGGGGGAUAACCAGUGGAAACGCUGGCUAAUACCCCGGAUGUCUGCAACCUUAGAAAUUGUAGACUGAAGCUCCGGCGCUCUGGGAGGGGCCUGCGUCCCAUCAGCUAGUUGGUAGGGUAAUGGCCUACCAAGGCGAAGACGGGUAGGGGGCGUGAGAGCGUGACCCCCCACACUGGUACUGACACACGGACCAGAUACCUACGGGUAGCAGCAGCAAGGAAUAUUGCGCAAUGGGCGAAAGCCUGACGCAGCAACACCGCGUGGAGGAUGAAGGCCUUCGGGUCGUAAACUCCUUUUCUGGGGGCUGAGAAAGGACAGUACCCCAGGAAUAAGCCUCGGCUAACUACGUGCCAGCAGCCGCGGUAAA
rnacentral:rRNA from 1 species